ACAGAAGCAAACAUAACAAGGUGACCACAGACGCAACUGCAUACCUGAGAGGUUGGGAAAUUCAUUGACUUUCCUGAUGGUCAGAGUAUACCCAGAGGGAACAGAGGAUGCUGCCUCUAUCAACACCCUAAGAAGUGGCUAAUCCUGGGAAAGGAAAUGAGGGCUGAGAUGAGAAGACAGAGCUUCCUCAUAACUUAAGGAUACCUGGAAGCGUCAUUUCUGCUUUCCCAAGAAGGGGUCUAUCCCACUAGUACAACCAUCACUGAAGGUCUGUCAUUGGUUUAUCCUGAAGGAGUACAGUCUGUGGAAACUCUCUCUUGAAUGAAGAAUGAUGAUGGUGGUGAGAGAACACACACU